UCGGGGGGGCUGAAGGGGCAGCAGGCUCAAGGGCAGUUCAGAUCUAGCUUUGGGAUGGGGACAGGCCUGGGGAGCACUGGGGAGUAAUACACAUGUGGGCAGGAAGCAGAGGUUCAGAGUCCGUGGGCUCGGGGGGACUGGGGUGCUGGGCACAAGGCGGGGUCAGAAGGGCCUGAGGGUCAGGGCAGGCCUGGGGGCCGCAGGACGGAUGGAAGGUGGUCAGACAGGGCUGAGGGCCAACAGAAUGUCAAGGUGAACUAUGGGGUCAUGGAGGGAUGUGGGGGCAGGCACAAUGCAGGGCUUGGAUCCAGCCUUGGGGUGAGGUCAGGGCUGAGGGUCAGCAAGGUGGGGCAGGGGGUGAUCACAGAUGGCGAGGCAGCAAGGGCCAGGGGGCAGAGGGUGCUGGGGCAUGAUAGGCACAAGGAGAGGGUCAGAUCCAGCCAGGGCCUGGGGGUGGGGCAGGGCAGGCCUAGGGACAUGCCACCACCAGGGUAGAAGAGGUUGACCUACGCCCUGUCCCAGGAUGCCCCAGGGAGGGGGUGCAUGUAUGACAUCCCACUCCCCAGUUCUUCACCUCCUCUCCAGUCUCCAUCUUACACACCCACGAGCAAUCUCACUCCCCAAACCACCCUCAUCUCCCGGAGUAAAGGGUGCAAGGGCACCUCAGCACCCCCAGCUGAUCCCCACUCCAUCCUUGCCCCCCGGGAACACCACCUGGAAUGGGCCGGGCCCCUGGUUCAGGGCUGAUCCAGCAGGUAUAUCAUCUGUGAGACACAAGCCGGGUGCCUCAGCAGCCCCCAAGACACACUCUCGCCUUUCCAAGGCCAAACUGCCACCACAGUCGGGAAAAGAGGCCUCAAAAUGAAUAAAGAUAGGUCUUGUUCCAGCUGGAAUGAAGCAAUUCCACUGCAGUUCGUUCGGCUCAUUGCAGGCAGCAGGAGCAGGACCCACAGCGCUGCGGGUGUUGCACCCGCUCGCUCCAAGGCUGAAUCAGCUUUCCUAAAAGCAAACAAGCAGGAGAGGAUUGUUGGGAGAGGAAGUGGCCAGGCCUGUCCGAGGGGAGGCAGGCGCGGAUUAGCAAUGGGAGCGGAGGUUCCUGGAGCUCGAUAAAGGAUUUGCCAGGGCUGGGAACACAGAGGGAGCUCUGUCCUCUCCCCUUCGCUACGUGACAUCGAGCGAUUUAUGACCGAACUGGAGCCGACUAGUUUGGCAAAAGAGACGUGGAGAGGAGCCGGCAGAGCAUCGUGGAAAAACUGCUCCUGCAAGCUCUUCUGGACUCCACUGCCCUAAGAAACACCUCCAACUCCAAAGGGAGCAGUUCACCUUCUCAGAGUGGACACCAGAAUUGGACACCAGUAGCAAGCAAUCUAUGAAAUCACAGACCAAUGUCCCUCUUCUCCUUCCCUCCAGAAGGACCAAAUUCCCAGGGAGAGCCUCCUGAAGAAUCCACUACAGCCAGGAAUGUUUUUGUAGACAUCCCUUGAUGCACCACUGAGUUCCAGGCCUGUCAGAGGGCCCAUGGCCCUGGGCUCUGCUGGGUCAGGCCAGAACAGAAGGUGGUGACAUCUGAUAAGGAACAGAUGAACUCAGGUUGCACUGUCCUCCUCCUGUGACUCCCCCUCUCCUGCCCUGCACCCCUCUGAAAUAACUGGGGUUUCUCUUCUCACUCCCCAAUUCGGGACUGGGGCACAUUCCCUUCAGCACGUCCUGUAAAGGCAGCCCUUGUGUUCUGCAGUGAAAAUGCUCUGCUCCCUCAGCUCUGCUCCUGCAUGUCCAGAAGCUCACCCUCGCUGCAGUCAUAUCCUUCCUGACACUCCUCUGCUGCACACUGAAUUAUGGUCCUCUCCACCUCCAUCCUCUGAAGAGCUUCUCAGAGCAACACUUCCAGCUUCAAUUUCUUUUCCAAGAUGCCAAAAUUGCACCUCACACCAGACAUGGCAGCUGGUCCCUUUGUGGCACAGAGAGGGAAGGAAUCAACAAGUUGUAACUGUAUUUAUGGCUGUAAGCAGGAAUUUCAGAGCAGCCUUUAAGGAUCCCACUUGCUGUCAGCAGAGUACAGGGAGGUACAAAGGAUUUUUAGAAAACUUUGUCAGAUAACAGUACGAAGGAAGUUACUGGAUAAACUUCCCAGUGAUCUCAGAACUUUUUCCUCCUACACUUCAUCAGGACACAGCUCUGAACAGAGAUGCACUGCACAGCCCAGCCUGGUACAACACUUCCAACUGUGAUGUUCCAGUGAGAUUGUGUUUACUGGAACAGCAAAGGUCUCUCAGGUAAAAAUAUAAUUAUCAGUGUUGACACAUCACACUUGGACUACUUUUUAUGACAUAUUGUCUCCUGGGAGCUGAUCCCCCAGGUUUGGACUCAGCAGAGAAUUGGUGGAGUAUUUUUGUUUGUUUUAUGUUGGUGGAUUUUUUUGU